rnacentral:lncRNA from 1 species
GGUUAUCGUCGAUCACUGCGGAUUGAUGUUCGUAGCUCCUCCUAUAUCAAGGAAAUGUCAUAAUUACUUUCCAAACAUAAGAAAUACAACUAUUUUAUGUGAUAUGAUUCACAAUGAAUAUUUAUCCCAUAGCUUAUAACUCUCGAAUCCAUUAUUUGUAAAUAAAAAUUACCCUAAUACUCUCAAAACCAUCAAUUGCACCUUAUGCUCAAAAUUUCAUAUUCCAGCUCAAUAAUUAAAUUUCCAUAUCCUAUAAUACUAAUAAAUCAGCCACAUUAUCACCAAUCUCAUUAUUAGCCAUGAACUACCCAAACAUAAUAUAUAACAAUAAGCUAUUUACAUACCGAAUUGAGGAAAUAGUGAGCGCUACACAUUUUGGCUCUAAUGCCUUGGUGCCCUUGUGCACCUAAAAUGAUCCACCAAUUACUAAAAUUAGCUUGGGACUUACUACACCCAUUUGUUGGGAACCCUAACUAUAAAUAAAGUAUACAAAUCUUUAAAUUAAUUUCAUUUUCAUGUAAAUGCAAUUUCAGGUAAAGAUAAAAUGAUAGAAAUCUUACUCCAUUUGGUAAGAAAUUCAACUUGAAAGCUUGAAUCACUUCCCUCUCACUCAAAUCCUUUCUCUACACUUCCUACAUUUAAAUUCCUCUCCAAUGAAUUUCCAAAUGAACUUAGGGAUAAAAAUACUCUAGAAUGACUCUCGAAUCCAAUUUGUGAAAGACCAAACUCAAUUUUGGAAAAAUCCUAAAUCAUGAAAAUUUUCCCAUUGUCUUCCUCUCAUGCCCGUGAGCUUUUGCAAAGCAAUGGUAAGUGCU